rnacentral:misc_RNA from 1 species
GAUGAAGAACGUAGCAAAAUGCGAUAAGUAAUGUGAAUUGCAGAAUUCAGUGAAUCAUCGAAUCUUUGAACGCACAUUGCGCCCGCCAGUAUUCUGGCGGGCAUGCCUGUUCGAGCGUCAUUUCAACCCUCAAGCACAGCUUGGUGUUGGGCGUCUGUCCCGCUUCGCGCGCGGACUCGCCCCAAAGGUAUUGGCAGCGGUCGUGCCAGCUUCUCGCGCAGCACAUUGCGCUUCUCGAGGCACCGGUGGGCCCGCGUCCAUCAAGCUCACCCCCCCAGUUUGACCUCGGAUCAGGUAGGGAUACCCGCUGAACUUAAGCAUAUCAAUAAGCGGAGGA